GAGUUUGAUCAUGGCUCAGAACGAACGCUGGCGGCAGGCCUAACACAUGCAAGUCGAACGCUCCCUUCGGGGGGAGUGGCGGACGGGUGAGUAACGCGUGGGAACCUGGCUCUUGGUACGGAACAACCGCGGGAAACUGCGGCUAAUACCGGAUACGCCCUGAGGGGGAAAGAUUUAUCGCCGAGGGAUGGGCCCGCGUCUGAUUAGCUAGUUGGUGAGGUAACGGCUCACCAAGGCAUCGAUCAGUAGCUGGUCUGAGAGGAUGAUCAGCCACACUGGGACUGAGACACGGCCCAGACUCCUACGGGAGGCAGCAGUGGGGAAUAUUGGACAAUGGGGGCAACCCUGAUCCAGCCAUGCCGCGUGAGUGACGAAGGCCUUAGGGUUGUAAAGCUCUUUCAGUGGUGACGAUGAUGACGGUAGCCACAGAAGAAGCCCCGGCUAACUCCGUGCCAGCAGCCGCGGUAAUACGGAGGGGGCAAGCGUUGUUCGGAAUUACUGGGCGUAAAGGGUGCGUAGGCGGCCUGUUGCGUCAGGUGUGAAAGCCCCGGGCUCAACCUGGGAGGUGCACUUGAUACGGGCAG
rnacentral:rRNA from 1 species